rnacentral:rRNA from 1 species
UACGUAGGGUGCAAGCGUUUAAUCGGAAUUACUGGGCGUAAAGCGUGCGCAGGCGGCUAUGCAAGACAGAUGUGAAAUCCCCGGGCUCAACCUGGGAACUGCAUUUGUGACUGCAUGGCUAGAGUGCGGCAGAGGGGGAUGGAAUUCCGCGUGUAGCAGUGAAAUGCGUAGAUAUGCGGAGGAACACCGGAUGGCGAAGGCAAUCCCCUGGGCCUGCACUGACGCUCAUGCACGAAAGCGUGGGGAGCAAACAGG